AUGGGUUCUCUGACCAUGGUUCUUCACUCUUGUCACUCAAUAAUUAGGUCAGGUUCUAUUAUUUUAACCUCUUUGGCUCCUUGGCAUCACAAACACACCUAUCUGGCUAGAGAGGUUCUGUCACCUUGGAGCUGGGGAGGAGAGGAGAGGAGAGGAGAGAGCACAGUUGGUGACCUCAGCAUCCUCUGCUAACACUGC
rnacentral:lncRNA from 1 species